rnacentral:rRNA from 1 species
UAGGGAAUCUUCGGCAAUGGACGAAAGUCUGACCGAGCAACGCCGCGUGAGUGAAGAAGGUUUUCGGAUCGUAAAACUCUGUUGUUAGAGAAGAACAAGGACGUUAGUAACUGAACGUCCCCUGACGGUAUCUAACCAGAAAGCCACGGCUAACUACGUGCCAGCAGCCGCGGUAAUACGUAGGUGGCAAGCGUUGUCCGGAUUUAUUGGGCGUAAAGCGAGCGCAGGCGGUUUCUUAAGUCUGAUGUGAAAGCCCCCGGCUCAACCGGGGAGGGUCAUUGGAAACGGGGAGACUGGAGUGCAGAAGAGGAGAGUGGAAUUCCAUGUGUAGCGGUGAAAUGCGUAGAUAUAUGGAGGAACACCAGUGGCUAAGGCGGCUCUCUGGUCUGUAACUGACGCUGAGGCUCGAAAGCGUGGGGAGCAAACAGG